GGCAUCGACGACGGAUACUACAAACUUGCCUCCUAGUCUUCUUGACAGCCCUAUGCCUGUUACGAGGAGGAGACUUGCUAUGGCCAUGGCCGAAGGUGGCGCAUCACCGCCACCAGUCACAACUACUACAUCUCCGGCUGCGCCUAGUUUUGAUGUGCCUUCAAGUUCCAAUGCAUCCAAGAAAAAAUUAACUCCAAGGAGGAGGAAAGAAUGAUUUUAUUGAGUCAAGACUCUCUUUUCGAUUCUAAGAUAGAUGUGUUGCCUUUCUUUGUUUGUUGAAUAAUGCACACAGAAUUUAUUAUUUUGACUAUUUUAAACUCUGAAUUAUGAGUUGGUGAUCUAUCGUGUGAUGAAUUAUGUCAA